rnacentral:rRNA from 1 species
GAUGAACGCUGGCGGCGUGCCUAAUACAUGCAAGUCGAGCGAACGGACGAGAAGCUUGCUUUUCUGAUGUUAGCGGCGGACGGGUGAGUAACACGUGGAUAACCUACCUAUAAGACUGGGAUAACUUCGGGAAACCGGAGCUAAUACCGGAUAAUAUUUUGAACCGCAUGGUUCAAAAGUGAAAGACGGUCUUGCUGUCACUUAUAGAUGGAUCCGCGCUGCAUUAGCUAGUUGGUAAGGUAACGGCUUACCAAGGCAACGAUGCAUAGCCGACCUGAGAGGGUGAUCGGCCACACUGGAACUGAGACACGGUCUAGACUCUACGGGAGGCAGCAGUAGGGAAUCUUCCGCAAUGGGCGAAAGCCUGACGGAGCAACGCCGCGUGAGUGAUGAAGGUCUUCGGAUCGUAAAACUCUGUUAUUAGGGAAGAACAUAUGUGUAAGUAACUGUGCACAUCUUGACGGUACCUAAUCAGAAAGCCACGGCUAACUACGUG